rnacentral:rRNA from 1 species
CUGCGAAUGGCUCAUUAAAUCAGUUAUCGUUUAUUUGAUAGUACCUUACUACUUGGAUACCUGUGGUAAUUCUAGAGCUAAUACAUGCUAAAAACCCCGACUUCGGAAGGGGUGUAUUUAUUAGAUAAAAAACCAAUGCCCUUCGGGGCUCCUUGGUGAUUCAUAAUAACUUCUCAGAUCGCAUGGCCUUGCGCCGGCGACGGUUCAUUCAAAUUUCUGCCCUAUCAACUUUCGAUGGUAAGGUAUUGGCUUACCAUGGUUUCUACGGGUAACGGGGAAUUAGGGUUCGAUUCCGGAGAGUUAGCCUGAGAAACGGCUAACACAUCCAAGGAAGGCAGCAGGCGCGCAAAUUACCCAAUCCUGAUACAGGGAGGUAGUGACAAUAAAUACUGAUACAGGGCUCUUUUGGGUCUUGUAAUUGGAAUGAGUACAAUUUAAACCUCUUAACGAGGAACAAUUGGAGGGCAAGUCUGGUGCCAGCAGCCGCGGUAAUUCCAGCUCCAAUAGCGUAUAUUAAAGUUGUUGCAGUUAAAAAGCUCGUAGUUGAACCUUUGGCCUGGCUGGCGGGUCCGCCUCACCGCGUGCACUUGUCCGGCCGGGCCUUUUCUUCUGGAGAACCGCAUGCCCUUCACUGGGUGUGUUGGGGACCAGGACUUUUACUUUGAAAAAAUUAGAGUGUUCAAAGCAGGCCUUUGCUCGAAUAUUACAGCAUGGAAUAAUAAAAUAGGACGUGCGGUUCUAUUUUGUUGGUUUCUAGGACCGCCGUAAUGAUUAAUAGGGACAGUCGGGGGCAUCAGUAUUCAAUUGUCAGAGGUGAAAUUCUUGGAUUUAUUGAAGACUAACUACUGCGAAAGCAUUUGCCAAGGAUGUUUUCAUUAAUCAGUGAACGAAAGUUAGGGGAUCGAAGACGAUCAGAUACCGUCGUAGUCUUAACCAUAAACUAUGCCGACUAGGGAUCGGGCGGUGUUAUUAUUUUGACUCGCUCGGCACCUUACGAGAAAUCAAA